rnacentral:rRNA from 1 species
AUUGAACGCUGGCGGCAGGCCUAACACAUGCAAGUCGAGCGAGAAAGGUCUUCGGACUGAGUACAGCGGCGGACGGGUGAGUAAUGCGCAGGAAUCUACCUGGUAGUGGGGGAUAACUCGGGGAAACUCGAACUAAUACCGCAUACGCCCUACGGGGAAAGCGGGGGACCGUUCGGCCUCGCGUUAUCAGAUGAGCCUGCGUAGGAUUAGCUUGUUGGUGAGGUAAAGGACUCACCAAGGCGACGAUCCUUAGCUGGUCUGAGAGGAUGAUCAGCCACACUGGAACUGAGACACGGUCCAGACUCCUACGGGAGGCAGCAGUGGGGAAUAUUGCGCAAUGGGCGAAAGCCUGACGCAGCCAUGCCGCGUGUGUGAAGAAGGCCCUUGGGUUGUAAAGCACUUUCAAUUGGGAAGAAAGGUUGCGUGUUAAUAGCACGUAGCUGUGACGUUACCUUUAGAGAAGCACCGGCUAACUCCGUGCCAGCAGCCGACGG